UAGGAAAAGUAACAAAAUUGCCUGAUGUAUCUUUGACAUUAAAUAGCAGCAUCAAAGUCAACAGCGAACUUCUCGAAAAAGGAUAUAUUUUUCAAAAUAUAUAUUGCUCAACGACAGUUCCAAUUUUCCAAAAUACCUUUACCGUCUGCUAGCAAGGAAGAAAACAUCAAGCCCAUAGCUGUUGACAGAGAGUGGUUACGGACAUUCCGCGUCUUGCUAAAGCGUUUAAAGAAUGCGAAAAAUAUGCGCCGACCAUUCUUCGAGAUGGACGUGCAGGACACAACGAAAGAAAGCGCAAUGGCACAAUGAAAGGCAUCAACACAGAUCGAUAGUAACGCAACUGCUAGGAACGGGAACGUUUUUUUGAGAAUCGCCUCAGAAACGUUGCGCUAUUUCUCGUCUUAAUGUAUUAUUACGUUACCUAAAAGGGCGGAGAAGUGUGAGGUAAAUCGAUCAGAAUUGCCCAAGAAGAUUAUUACAUAUCACCGAACAAGUUGUCCAUCGCACACUGCUUGGAAAAGCACGGGUCACAAUGUGCGGUACGGCGCAGAAGAUCUUUGGAAUUUUAACAUCAUUAGAACCUUGAGAUCUUCCGAGCGAUUGCUAGCUGAGAUUAUCAAUCUUAUAGGUUAGCCCGCUAGCCCUGCUAUUCAUCGAGGAGCAAGUGUACGAGAUUUCUUGAUUUUCGUGCAAGAAAUGGAAGUACAUCGUUACCCCGUGCACGAGCACGAGCACGAGAAGGAUGUGACCAAAAUUAAUCCAGUGCUUUAUCAAAAAGGUAGAAAAACGACUGAACCUUAAAAGUACUGGACCGGCCAAGGGACGUUUUUGUAGCUCGAUACGCGACCCGCGGAUCUCUGUCACUGCGUACUUUUUUUAGAACCUAUCAGUGUUUUUGCAUAGCAUUGACGAUUUAGCUCGUUCAGCAAUAAAAAAUACCGUUCUUUAACUAAUUGAAUCGUCAAUGUCUCUAACUAACAAAGCUAAUGAAAACUGUAACGUCUUUCGAAUGCAGGCCGAACGAGAAGGUAACAACGAUAAAAUGGCGCGUCAAUGGAUAAAAUCCGUGAAAAGAGUGCAAUAUAAGGCUAUGUAACUAACAGCUGUUACAAGUACGCUUGCGGGUCGAUCUAGAGCAUGCGUAUUGCAGGCUCAGAUCACACGCAAAUCUAAUCCACGAGCUCCUUUCUGAUCAGGCCCUUGAAAAUGUACCUAAACUGUUCCAAAUUAUGAAAGGCAAGUUUGUCCUAAAAACGAAUUUUCCAUGUAACAUCGUUUCGUGAAAUAAGGUCACGGGUAUCGACAGUUGCACUCGUCCGUGUGUGUUUUUUAGAUGAACUCGGCGCUCAUCUAUACAAUUGAAUUUGUAUAAAUAAAUGGAUGAAUAAAUAGGAAUGUAGUAUUAAAGAGCAGUUACAAUUCAAAAUAUUUUACUAUUUAAACAUGAAAGCAUCAGCAUUUCGACGAAUUAUACACGAAAAUAAAUAUCAUUGAUUCAAUUCAGAUUGUAAGAUGUAUCCUCCUGUGGAGCGGCUGCUCCCGCCAAAAUAUGCGUCUGCAAUCGGUCGGCUAAGCGGACCAAUGAAGCCCAACCGUGAUGUUAUUUACUUUACGUGAUAUUAAGAAUUUAUCUAUGACAUUAUACAUUGUUGGUUUCAACUGGAAGAAAACAACACGAUGCCUUCAAUGCUUUUCUCUUCUAAUUGUUCCCUUUAAUUUCUGCGUGAAAUACGCAGCUGUUGCUAGCCAUAUUGAUACACGCAGCCCAUCCCUGACUGAAUAAAGCUGUUAAGUUACUGUCAAGAAAUCAGCUAAUCUCUCUAACAGUGAAAUAGGUCAUAGCGGUUAUGGCCACCAUUGAAUAGUCCUUCCAAUUAGGCACAUUGCAUUGAGCGUAGAUUCAACUGUCGAACUGAAUAUUCAGAAAACCGAAGAAGUGCAUUUAUAUAUAUUAUAAUACAAGAACGUGCAUAAAUUUAAAGCUCAGCUAGUUGAUGAUGUAUAAUUCUAAUUAAUUCUCUUUUUCUUUUCCUGGGUUUCGGACCCAGAGACUUUUUUCGUAUCUGUCAAUCUCUACAUCCACAUAUUCUCAACGCGAACCGCAGUAAUGUAGAUUUAAGAUAGUUCCCUGCUUGUCUAAACAUGAUAAUCAUUCGAGGUCAAACGCAAAUUUCUUGCUACUGCCGCCGCAGAUCAUCCCAUAUUUGGAAGUAGCUGAUUAGCAUGAUUUAAUUUCUCGUAUAUUCCUAUGGGGCAGCCCAUCGAGUUACAAAUUUGCUGUUGCGGAUUUCCUCGUUAAGGGUCGUUUCAUGGAAACUGGAACGAACCAAUGAUACCCAAACAAAGUACAUCCUGCGGGGCAGCGUUCAUUAUUGAUUUUUCUAAAAGACGAGAUAUUAUGUGCCAAGUCCAAGUGGAAGAUUGCUGACCUCGAGACUUCAGAGCUCGGCUGAAUCAUCUAAGAGCUCUCGAAGCAUCCGUUACGGCGAGGUUUCGUCUUAUAUUCGUCACAUAUUCUGAAGCACCAUUCAGAUGGUGAACUGCUCUGCAUGCAGUUAUGAAAUUGUCUAAUUGGGCAGCAUUGCGAAGUUGUGGAGCAGAAAAGUACUGCGCAAUGCUUUUUCAAGAUUCGAGUAGGAUUUAUUGAGUGCAUCCAUUAGCAAAUAGGUCUAUCACGUAUAUGUUCGGGCCUACGUGGCUGGCCUCGAGCGGCAUGACAGCUCACAAAUGCUCAUAUAAUUAAAACAUUUAUAUAUUUUUAAAUGCAAAACCGCAUAGAAUAUGCAUGCUAGCGCCACAACUACCGUAACUCUCCUCAGGCAGAAACAAUGUAUAAUAGCAUACGUUUAAUGUGAUGACACUAUGGAGGUAUUAUUAGACGAUCAACAACUGAGUAAGGGGCAAAAAUGAAAAAUAAUCACUGCAGAUUGAUUUUGGCCCAGGACUUCAAUAGCCUAAUAAGAAAAUAUAUUUGAAUACGUACUCUAAGGGAACCACAGCAGAUGAAAUGUUCCCAAAUCGCGUAUUAUGUAGGCGCGUCCAUGACGUUGUAUUCUCUUAUCGCAUUACGGGACUGCUGAGCGACUGUUAUCAGGAGAUUUGAUAUCGUUCACUGAAUUCACGUGAUAGAUACGGCACAGCAUUUUGAGUCAGAAGAUGAUAAACAUGGAGACCAAAUGAACCGCUCAAAACGAGCACGGGAAAAAUGUGUAAAGAUGUUUAUGUCAUUGUAUAUGAAAGUUGCUGUCGUAGAUCUUUUAUACAUCGUCAAGAAGAAUGAUAAUGUGGCGUUACUAGUAGUCACAAGAAUUACUUUUAAGAUAAAAGUAUCUUUAGUACUUCGAAUAAAUCACAUCGGCCUUUUUUUCUAAAGUUUUUCGGUAUCAUAUGUAGUCCAGCUGUCUGUAUUGAAAUGGUGCAUUUUGAAUUUCCGUUCACGUUUGGAUAAUUGUUCAAUAAAAAUAUAGAUUCAAUAAAAUAUACAACAUUUUUAACAG